UGUUCGUUCGUUUCGCCACUCGCUAACUGUUGGCGAAUCGAUGACGGCUAUUGUAACUGCGCAGGUGUUAUCUAAUCUAAAAUUGGCGAGAUGUAAAAAAAUGGCAUUGUUUGCGAAGGUGGUCCAUGGAUGCUUUCUUAAAGCUUAAACAGACGGCAGCGUUGAUCCGGAUUAACUCGGACUUAAUUCGGAUCAACCGCAGUUAACUCCCGAGUUGAUCCGGAUCAACACUGCCGUCUGUUUAUGCUUUUACGUCGCUUACAUCAAUUAACCAUACAAC